rnacentral:rRNA from 1 species
GGGAUAUUGCACAAUGGGCGCAAGCCUGAUGCAGCAACGCCGCGUGCGGGAAGAAGGUCUUCGGAUCGUAAACCGCUUUUAUCAGGGACGAGCAAGGACGGUACCUGAUGAAUCAGUCUCGGCUAACUACGUGCCAGCAGCCGCGGUAAAACGUAGGAGGCAAGCGUUAUCCGGAUUUACUGGGCGUAAAGCGUGUGCAGGCGGUUGUCCAAGUCGUGUAUGAAAGCGCUCCGCUUAACAGGGCGAGGCUAGACGAGACUGGGCGACUAGAAUCAGACAGAGGCAAGCGGAAUUCCGGGUGUAGUGGUGAAAUGCGUAGAGAUCCGGAGGAACACCAGAGGCGCAGGCGGCUUGCUGGGUCUGUAUUGACGCUCAGACACGAAAGCAUGGGGAGCGA